rnacentral:rRNA from 1 species
GAUGAACGCUGGCGGCGUGCCUAAUACAUGCAAGUCGAGCGAACGGACGAGAAGCUUGCUUUUCUGAUGUUAGCGGCGGACGGGUGAGUAACACGUGGAUAACCUACCUAUAAGACUGGGAUAACUUCGGGAAACCGGAGCUAAUACCGGAUAAUAUUUUGAACCGCAUGGUUCAAAAGUGGAAGACGGUCUUGCUGUCACUUAUAGAUGGAUCCGCGCUGCAUUAGCUAGUUGGUAAGGUAACGGCUUACCAAGGCAACGAUGCAUAGCCGACCUGAGAGGGUGAUCGGCCACACUGGAACUGAGACACGGUCCAGACUCCUACGGGAGGCAGCAGUAGGGAACCUUCCGCAAUGGGCGAAAGCCUGACGGAGCAACGCCGCGUGAGUGAUGAAGGUCUUCGGAUCGUAAAACUCUGUUAUUAGGGAAGAACAUAUGUGUAAGUAACUGUGCACAUCUUGACGGUACCUAAUCAGAAAGUCACGGCUAACUACGUG